UUGUUCGAUCAUGGAUCAGAUUGAACGCUGGCGGGAUGCUUUACACAUGCAAGUCGAACGCUAGCCUGGACUUCGGUCUGGUGGCGAGUGGCGAACGGGUGAGUAAUGUAUCGGAACGUGCCUAGUAGCGGGGGAUAACUACGCGAAAGCGUGGCUAACCCGCAUACGCCCUUCCAGGGAAGGCGAGGACCUUCGGGCCUCGCACUACAAUAGAGCGGCCGAUAUCGGAUUAGCUAGUUGGUGGGGUAACGGCUCGCAAGGGCGACGAUCCGUAGCUGGUUUGAAGGACGACCAGCCACACUGGGACUGAGACACGGCCCAGACUCCUACGGGAGGCAGCAGUAGAAUUUUGGACAAUGGGAAACCCUGAUCCAGCCAUCCCGCGUGUGCGAUGAAGGCCUUCGGGUUGUAAAGCACUUUUGGCAGGAAAAAAACGGCACGGGAUAAUACCCGUGCAACUGACAGUACCGCCAGAAUAAGCACCGGCUAACUACGUGCCAGCAGCCGCGGUAAUACGUAGGGUGCAAGCGUUAAUCAAAUUACUGGGCGUAAAGCGUGCGCAGGCGGUUCGGAAAGAAGAUGUGAAAUCCCAGAGCUUAACUUUGGAACUGCAUUUUUAACUACCGAGCUAGAGUGUGUCAGAGGGAGGUGGAAUUCCGCGAUGUGGCAGUGAAAUGCGUAGAUAUGCGGAGGAACACCGAUGGCGAAGGCAGCCUCCUGGGAUAACACUGACGCUCAUGCACGAAAGCGUGGGAGCAAACAGGAUUAGAUACCCUGGUAGUCCACGCCCUAAACGAUGUCAACUAGCUGUUGGGGCCUUCGGGCCUUGGUAGCGCCAGCUAACGCGUGAAGUUGACCGCCUGGGGAAUGCAGUCGCAAGAUUAAAACUCAAAAGGAAUUGACGGGGACCCGCACAAGCGGUGGAUGAUGUGGAUUAAUUCGAUGCAACGCGAAAAACCCCCUUUACCUACCCUUGACAUGUCUGGAAUCCCGAAGAGAUUUGGAGUGCUCGCAAGAGAACCGGAACACAGGUGCUGCAUGGCUGUCGUCAGCUCGUGUCGUGAGAUGUUGGGUUAAGUCCCGCAACGAGCAUAACCCUUGUCAUUAGUUGCUACGAAAGGGCACUCCUAAUGAGACUGCCGGUGACAAACCGGAGGAAGGUGGGGAUGACGUCAAGUCUCCGCUAACCAUAUGGGUAGGGCUUCACACGUCGUACAAUGGUCGGGACAGAGGGUCGCCAACCCGCGAGGGGAGCCAAUCCCAGAAACCCGAUCGUAGUCCGGAUCGCAGUCUGCAACUCGACUGCGUGAAGUCGGAAUCGCUAGUAAUCGCGGAUCAGCAUGUCGCGGUGAAUACGUUCCGGGUCUUGUACACACCGCCCGUCACACCAUGGGAGUGGGUUUUACCAGAAGUAGUUAGCCUAACCGUAAGGAGGGCGAUUACCACGGUAGGAUUCAUGACUGGGGUAAGUCGUAACAAGGUAA
rnacentral:rRNA from 1 species